rnacentral:misc_RNA from 1 species
GAAUCGGCGUCCGCGUAGGACUGCCCACUUCAUCCUUACCCUGUGAAAACGGUCUCUUUUAAACCAAAAGUGACGCAUGUAAAUCAUACUAAAACAACAAAACUUUCAGCAACGGAUCUCUUGGCUCC